rnacentral:lncRNA from 1 species
ACGAUAAAUCAAAUGUUUUGCGAUUAAAUCCUGGUCUAUAUAAGACGGGCUUGAACUUGCGCGCGCGAGUAUGUGGCAAUCGACUUGCCCCAUUACCCCAAAGGUGAAAUCUGCCGGCAAAAAGAGAGCGCCAACGUCACUUAUCGAAAUUAGUAGUAAACUAGCAGUGGAAACUAACAUCCGUUUUUACGUAGUUCCAAAAGUCCUUAGUGAAGAAGUUCUUAGGAGGAAAUAUCUGUUUUUAAGUGACGUUCGUGCGAUGCAUUAAACUUGUAUAAUACGUUCUCUGUGUUCCUUGUGCCAAGACCGAUUACCAGUUUUGCCAGAGAUUUCUUCUUUAGAUUCCUUUGUCACUUACAUUAAAUAUUAUUACAUGAUACUAAAGUAAACUGAUGUGGAUAAAAUAGAAGGAGAAGGUUGUAAUAUAUGAGCACAUGAAACAUAUUAAAGAAGAAAAGAAGAGAGAACAGAAUCCGCUUGCGGAAAGCGAUAUUCUUGGAACUUGAUAUCGUGAAUUUUGUACUUCUUCUUGUCUUCAGAAUUCUGGUCUUCAGAGAGAAAUAACGUUCUAUGUAUGAUCUUUAAUAUCAAAUCAAAUUCUGCUGCUUCGUGUCUCCUAAUGCAUAAUUCAACGGUGCGCGUGCUGCAGGCGAUUAUGCGUGCAAUACAUCUUCCGUUGAUUCCUCGACUCAUGUAACCAGCCGAUAAUCCUUGCAACAUAAAACCCGAUAUGGCUCCUUUGUCAGACGAAUAUAUAGAGCGUCAGUAGCCACUUGACAAUACAUUCAAUAAGUGAUUAACAUAUUAUAAUCUGCAAUAAAAUUUUUCCUUACGUCUACAAAUUAAAAUAUAAAAUUAAAAUAUAAAUAUAAAUUGUUAACUUUACAAGUGUGUUUCACACAUUCCACUAAAAUUUUUCUGGGAACUGAGGAAAGGAAGAAGAUUUCCGUUAAAAUUACGAAACACAGUUCAUCAGAAUGACUUGCUUCUCUCAGUUGUUUCGGUAUUCAAAGUUAAAGUGUUGUCAUUGAAACUUCCGUCAUUAUUUUUAACUGUGUUUUAACUCUAUAUUGUCUUUAGCGAGCAAAUGGCGUUGCAAGUUUGGGAUACUCCGUUGAGCAAAUCCGCUUGACUUCCCCUUUCCCGAUGGUUGGCCCGGUAUCGAUUCUUGAUUUGCAAGAAUUACGAUGCGUUCGCAAUCGCAAUCGCGCUGAUAACAAAUUUCCUUUUAACGGAUAUUGCAUUCUUCGGAACGACAUAGCUCCGUUCUUUUUCAACUGCCGGCAUUUACCAUGAUUUCUGCCUGCAGCGGCCCGUGAAAUUUUGCAUUUUUCGAUUCACACGCAGGUGGGACGCGAGAGGGAAAUGUUAUUUCCGACGUGCGAUUGCAAGCAAAUUUUCACGACCUCCGAACAUAUCGCUUGGAUAUUUCGUGAAUGGUGAUUUCACUUAGUCCAGUUGAGUGGAAACGUUUCAACUACAUUGCACGAGCGCUUCGACUCACUCGAAUAGCCAACGGCGAAUAAGUCUAAUGUCUUAAUAAUACAGCAUCAAAAAGCUUUAACGUAAAAUUCCAGUUUAAAUCACUGCUUUUGACACUUUACGAGUAAAAAUAUUAUUUGCUGUCGGAAAACGAUAAUAAAUGUUCUGUUCUACAUUAUUAUACGUGAUUGUGGCGAAGACAGAAGAUGCGUGAAAAGCGAGUGAGUUUAAUAUGUCUUGUUAAGAAAUUAAGUCUUUUUAUUCAUCGUUGUUCCAACAACUAAAUUAAAACAUAUAUCUUUCUACAUGAAAUAUGAAGAUGUGGAAACGCAAAACUAUUAAGGCAAUUUCUCGCUUAAGCGAUCAGGAGUUCAGGUCUUCAUGCGCGUCGAAUAACUCUCUUCAAACACCAUUUAAUCGUUUAUCGUUGAAGCUCAGAUGAUAAUAACUUUAUAUUGGAUAACAGAGAGAUGACGGUGACUGGCUUCAUAUCUUGCUACAAACAAAGCACAUAUCUCGCAUUGCAAAUUUGUGGGGGGACACGCCAGAUCCAAUACCGCAAAUAUGAAAAUAACUAUAACGUAUCCGACCACCUAUAUCACCCCACGUGCCAUUGUGUGAAAAUGCAAGAAUUUCCACUCGAGUCGCUGUAGCAGUGAAUCGCAAAGGACGGUAUUUUCUCAUUUUCCAUGUUGUAGCUCAGUAACAAUUAAUAUCACCAUGUUGUUUCGCUGAAAGAGAAAGAGAGACUCCUGCUCUGUUGACACAGGGACUUCAAAUGGUCGCUUUCAGAACAGAACUAAAAGCUCUCCGAACGGUUAAAUCAAUUUACAUAACUGAGUUUCAUUCGUACUUUAAAUUAACUCCUAUGACAGCACAUUUUGCAACAUACUCGAAAUUGCCAUUAGAGGAAAUAAAACAUUAAUUAAUUGCUAUGUUUUUCGUUUUCUGCAACAGUAUAUUGGAAAAAUUUAGCAUGUAAUCAGUAAUUUGUCAUAUUUUAUGCUGCAUGUGUAUAGAUAUAUAAUCAUUUCAUCAUAAUGAAUUCUUCCGGAUUCUUUUCCUGUCGAGAGAGAGGGAGAGAUAGCCAGAACCAGAUAUGUUUUAUUUUAUUUAUACAGGAAAUAGUUAAUUAAUUGAAUCACGUUCUGCAAGCAAACCUGACAAUAUUGUUAGUUGGUCGGUCGAGUUCUUCCAGCAGAUUUUAAUCCAAUUAUUCUACCGAGCAGAGUUGAUCAAUAUAAAUAUUUGAAAGCGCGCGUCCUGCGAAAAGCGCAGACAGGUCUUGUUUGCAAUAAAAUAAAAUCAUAUCAGGAAAUCAGAUUAAAGUGUUACACACGUAUGCAAGCGCAAUAUAAAUAGAUCUAUGAACGAGCUGAAGUUAACUUUGCCAUGUAACUGUUUAUCAAAAUUUAUUAUACAAUAUUUACUGCUGCUGCUCCAUCUUUUAUUGCAUUACCGAGAUACUUAUAGUCUCCGAUAAAUUUAUUAAGCAAAGUGUAAAUUUAAGCCGAACGCUCCAUAGCUAAAGUGAAAUACGAUUAUUUUUUAACACUCUGCACAUGGCGAGUAUAUUUAAACGCUUUUAAGCCGUAAGGAUUUCGCUAGGCUGUAUUAAACCUCUAUAAAGGGUAGGAUAUCUGCAUACUUCAUCGUCAGGAAGACGAAAAUUGCUGAAAAUAUCCCAGUCUCAUGUUCGUCAAAUUGGUCAUAUCGAUUAUCGAUUGCAACUACGAAAGGGAACUCCGGGAAUUCCGAAUUAUCAUCGCUUUCACGAAAGAACGACUUCACUUGCCAUCAAGUGAAGUAGAAUUGGAAUUUUAUCAUUGCACAUACACACGCAUACGCUAUACACAUACACAUGCAUGUAUAUGUACAGCUUAUAGUCAUAAGUUAAUUAUUGAUUUCCAGUUUGUCGGUUAAUCGAUAUAUCAAAUCAGAGGAAACCUUUUUACAGUUAAAUCUGUUUUCAAUUUUUAUACUGUAAACUCAAAGUGACUUUAACAUGAUCACAGAAACAGUUUACCCCAGCUUCGUUACAGGAAAGCAGUUCCAUUUCAUCAACUUAAUGUACAUGAUCCUAACUGAUCUUAAUUCAUUUUAUCUGCUCGUCGCGUCUGUGAUUAUUUGUUUAUUCAAAUUUGAUAGCGAGAAAUGAGACGCGCAUACACAUUCCAUUACUCCAAGUUAUUCUGUAAGAAUGUAGGAGCGUGACAUGUGCAUAAUUAUCGUUAAAUAAUUAUCGGCGCGCAAUUCCGGUGCAAGUUAGGCCGAGAUAAUAAGGUAACCGGUUAAACGUAUAAAUUGGGUGCGCAUGUGCCUCGGAGGUUUUAGCAAACUCUCGAUGCCGUGGUAACGCGGUGACCCGUGCCGAAAGCCCAGCUCAGGCCGGUUACCGUAUUACAAAUUAGAUUCGCUAACUCUUCUCUAGCAGAUAAUUCGUUUAAACGUCCGGGCGCGAAAUAGAGCGGGUAACUCAAUGGCCUUGGCUAACUGGAUUUUUCAGCCGGACACAAAACUGACGUGAUUACCUGCAAUUAUAAUGAUAUCACCACAUCUCACCCUCGCCCGCGAAGUUAAUGAUCGAAGAAACUUGGAAGCAAACAAGUCGGUCCCCAGAAAGCGUAGGAUAACAGGUGUCCCUGAUCGACUGCAUUUCCUACCAAUCUGCAAUCCCUUCAACGAACUUCAGGUUGUCUUUCCUCAAGGGAAAUUCGAUGGAUCGUUCACUUACACCGCUGUUGCCGGGACCGUUUCCAAUGAAACUGCUCUUGUGUAUUUCGAGUUCGAACUUCACGUUAAUGGGAAUUUAUUUUUGAAUUCAGUCAUCAAAAACUCGGCAAAUCUAAGAACUGAAAUUAAUUUGGUGUUGUAAAAAGUUGAAGAGGUUGACGUCUGCCAUCGCAUAAUUUUCUCUAAAGACUCAUUAGGAACAUCCGGCUGAAAUUGAUGCGAAACAUCUCACAUAUGACUCUACUACAGUUAUGCUUGGAUACUAAUUUACUUAAGUACUAAUUUUCUCGAGCCCUAACAUGCUUGGCUGCUAACUUUCUUAAAUACCAAAUUCCUGGAAUCCAGAUUUCAAGGAGUCCUAGCAUAUAAGACUUGGCUUUGAUCCUAGUUUGCCUGGAUAGUCGCUGGCCUAGAUAGUAGUUUGCUUAGAUCCCAGCAAACCUCCUUUCUCUAUGUACAAGUUCCAUCUUUUGUGUUCCAGCUUUUGGGUUUCUUGAAUUCGACAGUGCACGACUUUCUUCAGCAAAGAACAUGACAUAUCAUACAUAUUUUGAUCAAACGCAUCAGGGAACUCACGCAGAAAUAUGAUAAGACAAGAAUAAUAAAUUGAAAAUAAACCAAAGAAAAACAGAGAUUUCCUCUCUUUAUGUAUAAGUUUCAUCUUUUGUAUUCCAGCUUUUGAGUUUCUUGAAUUCGACAUUGCACGACAUUCUUCAGCAAAGAACAUGGCAUAUUACACAUAUUUUGAUCAAACGCAUCAGAGGCAGAAACACAUAUUUCGCAGAAAUAUAAGACAAAAGUAAUAAAUUAAGAAUAAAAGGAACCAAAGGAACAGAGAUCUGAUAGUUCUAUUAAUGAAUACUCUCCACCUUGGUCACGAGACUUUUAUUCAUUCGCGAUAAGGUAAGAAAUUCAGUCCGCGCUCUGCCUUCGCGAAGAAUUUGUCACGUCUAUAAAACGUGGAUCUCCGUCAGCUUGCACUCGAUGCGAGGUAAACGACGCACGAAUGUGAAGAUACGCGAGCAGCAGAGAGAGGAGAGACGAAAAGGAAGAAGAGGAAUUCCCGGUGGGAAGGGUGCACGGUUGUCGUGGCGCCGAAUGUUAUCAUCCUCGCAUCUUCCUCAUCGUAUUCGUCGCUUUGAUUCUAUCCGCAAUUCGUCGGUGAAACAUUUUCCUAGGAAAUACCGCGAACGUGCGUCGCAAGGUACACAAGUUCCAGAACUGCGAGUCGUAUUGGCUGCUCAUGGAUUAAAUGCAUUAACAUCCUCGAAGCGGCAUGGGAUUGUGUGCGUAUGAAUGUAAAUUAAUUAGAGAUAUUUGUAAAAUUUAUGCGCUUUCGCUUACGAUAUUUAAUAACUGUGGUAAUUACCAUUAUAAUUAUCGUUUUGUUCAGUUUAUCACUUGGUACUUAUCGAUUGGAUAAGACGUGUGAUUCCAGAAUACCGUAUACUGUAUGUUACAAUGAGCUUUUCUACGAGGACAUAGGAACACGCCGGGAACGAGUUUGUGGAGGCGAAAUUCUGUUAAAACUAACUAAGCGAAGGCGGUUGUGAAAACAAUUUCACUCGCAACAAGCCUUUACAACUACGGAACUUGUGGUUUCAACAAGAAUCCCAGGAACUCCAUCUCGGCACUUUGAAUUCGACCUCAUUGUAAUGCGGAAUUUGAUCUGCGCCAUUUUCGUGAAAUCUCAUUACAAAGUGCGGUAUGUAAUCAAAAUUAUCCGAGGAAUUUAAUUUAUGCCACAAUCUGCAAUAGUUGUAUCAAUAUUGUAGGUGAGAGCAAACCACGGUUAUUCUGCGGUUUAAAGGUAAAUAAACGAAUAUCAUAAAUAUAACGUUGCCUUUGUUCUACUUUUGUACUGUGCAAGAACGUCAGUCGUUUCCGUUUCAAGAUAUUGAUCUGGCGAAAUAUGUCGUCUUCUAUUUACGCACGGCCGGCUUCCUCAGGAAUUUCCUCUAUUUUCGGAAGCCUAAUUGUAGUCUAUUGUAAUCGCGUUCCAUUCUUUGCUGUCGCACCUGCAACCAGCUGGAAUUCAACUUCCUGUCUAGCGACAGCAGGAACAUUCGCUUUUCUAUUAGCAGUUUCAUUAAAGUGAAAAAUGGUUUUGUGUAUCAUAUCUCACAAUUAUUUAGAGUUUCAAGAACUUGAACGUAAUAUCCGAGACUUUAUACUUGGUGCAAUAAUGAAGUGAAAUCGAACAGAUAUUUCUAAAGUACGAGGAAUAUACAGAGCGUGGAAUACAGAGAGUGUUUCAUGAGAACAUCAAACUUCUGGAUGGAAACAAUCUCUUGACAUAUUUCGACCUUUUCUUAUCGUAACUUUAAAGUUAUGCUCUUCGAGAUUACAAAUAAGGCAAUAUUUCAUCUCUUAGUUAAUUUAAGUUCGUGUUAGUGUAACUUGAUUGUGAGAAUGUCUAAAAUGUUUAAGGGAUUAUGGAAAUAUUAUGGAAGAGAUUACGAAUUACAUCGUUAGACACAACAGAUUUUGGUAUCUAUCUUUUUUAUGAAUAAAACUUUGAUUAAAAAUAUUGCUAUCUUAGUUUGUAUAUUGAAUAUUAUAUAAUAUUUUCCUCAAAAAUUCUAUUUCGUUAUUCCAAUAAAACUGUGUUGAAACUGCAUAAAGAAUAACGUCCAAUAUUUUUACUGCUUUCAAAAUACUUGAAAUUCUAAAAUUGAAUAACGCAAGCUAAUUCUCAAAGUAAAUGCAUCAACCUUUCUAAGAACAAUAAGAACGAUAAAUGGGAUCGACAACAUAGCAUUGAUCGAGCAAGUUUAUCAAUUGUGUUAAACAAAUUAAAGUUUGAUUGUGUAGUUUAAUUCUGCGAUAUACUUGCUUCAGUCAUUUAAUUGAAAAGUCUUGGAAUUAGAUUAUGCACAAAUAUGUAAUUACAUAUUAAUACUUUAAAUUUGUUAUCUCUCUUAGCAGUUAUUUCUCUUAGGUCGUGCAAAUGAUAUGUGGUUCAGAUGGUUAGCAAUCGCUAGAACCAAAACAAAUAAUUACAGAAUAAAUUCUUGUACAUAUAAAACUCUUCGAUAACGUUCACAGAAGUUUAUCUCUAAUUUUUAUUUUCUAAGAGUUACUUCAAUUUAUUUUAUUUGCCUUACCUACUUCAAACAAUUGAAAUAAAACGGACAAUGUUUUAUUACUCAAAAGAUUCGACAUAACAAUGAAAGCUCUUAUAAUAACAACAGAUUUUUAAGGAACUUGAGGAAGUCGAUCUUAAGCGAUACAAGCGAUGAGGAAAGAAUUACAUUUAGAGCAACUUCCUCGAGUCCUUAAAAAAGUGGGCGCGCGUUGCAUUUAAUCGUUCGAUUUAAUCGUACAAUUUAACCGAACGAUUUUUCUCGAGGACGAUAGAAAGCUUCGUACACUUCGCGAACGCGAAGUCUGUGAGGUUUCGCCACUUGCCAGUAGAAGAUUAAAGCGGAAUCUCCGGUAAUCGAUCGCUUGCCCUUCUCUAUUUGCCUGCCACACGCUUCUCUCCCCGCGGAAGCUGCAAUUUCGAGAGUCCGGUAAUCCGUUGCAACUGCGUUCCAUUCUUUCCGGCCGCAUUUGUAGCCCGAAUUUACUUUCGCCGAGCGAUAACGGCAGGAACGUUUGCCUUUCAUCCCGCGACAGUCCUUUAAGUCCUUUAAGUCCUUUAAGAGUUCUUCCUCGAGAAGCUCGGAAGUCGUGUACGAACGCUUUUAAUCCAACCGGAGUCCGCUGCGAGGGAAGUGCAACAAAGAGCCAACCUUUUAAAGCGAUAAAGCUUAACGUUUGCCAAUUGAUAACAGGCGAUAACGAUAAGCCCGAAUAUCAGGAAAAAGAGAUUCCAAUCGUUGGAAAUUAUUCACCAGGCUGAAGAGGCACUCGCGAGAAACACGAUCAAUUCUGCUGAAGAAUAACACGUUUAACGUUCGAGGUAAUAUGUUCAGUAUUACAGUGUGCCAUACUACCGCGAACAUCAGUACAAACUUUUCGAUAGAACGGAUACGAAUUCCGGCUUCUGGAAGGAGCAUCCAAUCCAAGAUAGUCGAUCUGGAAGACAGAAAUCUAUCGAAUAUCUGACGGUCGAUUGGAAGGAAAAAUAGGAUUAUCGAAAAUCGUUUAAGGAUUUGACAAUCGAGGAAGCGUUACAAUGGCUGAGAGAACGGCGACUGACAGUGAAAAAGUGGAAGAAAUCGCGCUGGAUAAGACGCAGGAGAUCAACGCCAUUUUGUCAGCGGAGACGCCGGUUGUCACGGAAGAUGGAGGCGAAAUUAACAGACGGGUCAAGAGGAACAUCAUCAUCGUACCAGAACCCAACGUGUUUGAAAAAGAUGGAACGACAUACCGACGCGAUAGGAAUGGACGUUGGAGACCCGUAUUGCACUAAUUAACAUUCCACACGGAAUUAGUUUGCGUUUUGUUUUUUAAAUGCUUUAUCGAUUUUUACCCAUCGAUUGAUAGGUCAGGUGAUUCAAACGGUUUUAAAGUAUUGGAAAUUUAAUGAAUUUUUAUUAGCAUACUGGCAAAGCGGCUAUAUUAGUAAACGACCGUUACACUCCAAGUUUCCAAGAUAACGUGUAACAUCCUGCAAUAUAUAUCGUUUUAAUUACCACAAAGUUCGGAGACUCAUCUUAAGAUACCUUCGAAGAUUUCAGAAGAUUUCUUGAAAAUGAUCUCUUUAAGAGUUUACAAGUUUUCAAAACCAUCUCAAAAUGAUCUCGAAGAAAUUAUUUCAAGCAUGAUAAUAAUUCGGCAGGAAUGAAUCAAGAUUUGUAUACAUGUGCUUUUGGAAAUAUUUGGAAGAUUCUAUGUACCUUGUCAAGAAAGAACUUUCACAAUU